AACGAACGCUGGCGGCAGGCCUAACACAUGCAAGUCGAACGCCCCGCAAGGGGAGUGGCAGACGGGUGAGUAACACGUGGGAACGUACCCUUCGGUUCGGGAUAACUCAGGGAAACUUGAGCUAAUACCGGAUACGUCCGAGAGGAGAAAGAUUUAUCGCCGAGGGAUCGGCCCGCGUCUGAUUAGCUUGUUGGUGAGGUAACGGCUCACCAAGGCGACGAUCAGUAGCUGGUCUGAGAGGAUGAUCAGCCACAUUGGGACUGAGACACGGCCCAAACUCCUACGGGAGGCAGCAGUGGGGAAUAUUGGACAAUGGGCGCAAGCCUGAUCCAGCAAUGCCGCGUGGAUGAAGAAGGUUUUCGGAUUGUAAAGUCCUUUCGGCGGGACGAUGAUGACGGUACCCGCAGAAGAAGCCCCGGCUAACUUCGUG
rnacentral:rRNA from 1 species